CCUACGGGAGGCAGCAGUGGGGAAUAUUGCGCAAUGGGCGAAAGCCUGACGCAGCGACGCCGCGUGAGGGAUGAAGGUCUUCGGAUCGUAAACCUCUGUCAGGAGGGAAGAAGUGGUUAUAUGCGAAUAGUGUAUGACUUUGACGGUACCUCCAAAGGAAGCACCGGCUAACUCCGUGCCAGCAGCCGCGGUAAUACGGAGGGUGCGAGCGUUAAUCGGAAUUACUGGGCGUAAAGCGCUCGUAGGCGGUAUGUCAAGUCAAGGGUGAAAUCCCCGCGCUCAACGUGGGAACUGCCUUUGAAACU
rnacentral:rRNA from 1 species